AUGUGUUAUGCCGGCUCUGAAACAGCUUCCCAAGUGACUCAGACCUUAAGGGAUCUGCAAAGACUUGGAGAACUUCAAUCUGAAUUGGCAGGAGUAGCUGAUUUCUCUGCCACCUAUCUUCGCUGUCAACUACUUCUCAUCAAGGCCUUGCAGGAAAAGUUGUGGAAUGUAGCUGCCCCUUUGUAUUUGAAGCAGAGUGAUUUGGCCUCAGCAGCAGCGAAACAGAUUAUGGAAGAGACCUACAAAAUGGAAUUCAUGUACAGUGGUGUGGAGAAUAAGCAGGUGGUGAUUAUACAUCACAUGAGGCUGCAGGCCAAAGCUUUGCAACUUAUAGUAACAGCACGAACUACACGAGGACUUGACCCCUUAUUUGGGAUGUGUGAAAAAUUUUUACAGGAAGUAGACUUUUUUCAGAGGUAUUUCAUCGCUGAUUUGCCCCACUUGCAGGACAGCUUUGUGGACAAACUCCUUGACCUUAUGCCCCGACUCAUGACAUCCAAACCUGCAGAAGUGGUCAAAAUUCUACAGACCAUGCUGCGACAGAGUGCCUUUCUGCAUCUCCCGCUUCCAGAGCAGGUCAGGGUCUAUUUGGCCCCUGUAGGCCAAAUCUGUCCAGACGGUCAAAAAUCUUUACCUUGGUGAUCUUCUUUGACCAAUGGAGCA
rnacentral:lncRNA from 1 species